CCUACGGGAGGCAGCAGUGGGGAAUCUUGCGCAAUGGGCGAAAGCCUGACGCAGCCACGCCGCGUGCGGGAUGAAGGCCCUAGGGUUGUAAACCGCUUUUAACAGGAACGAAAAUGACGGUACCUGUAGAAUAAGGUGCGGCCAACUACGUGCCAGCAGCCGCGGUGACACGUAGGCACCAAGCGUUGUCCGGAUUUAUUGGGCGUAAAGAGCUCGUAGGCGGUUCAGUAAGUCGGGUGUGAAAACUCUGGGCUUAACCCAGAGACGCCACUCGAUACUAUUGUGACUAGAGUUCGGUAGGGGAGCGGGGAAUUCCUAGUGUAGCGGUGAAAUGCGCAGAUAUUAGGAGGAACACCGGUGGCGAAGGCGCCGCUCUGGGCCGAUACUGACGCUGAGGAGCGAAAGCGUGGGUAGCAAACAGGAUUAGAUACCCUGGUAGUCCACGCCGUAAACGGUGGGCACUAGGUGUGGGUUCCAACCAACGGAAUCCGCGCCGUCGCUAACGCAUUAAGUGCCCCGCCUGGGGAGUACGGCCGCAAGGUUAAAACUCAAAGAUANGCGNGNGAGANCACGACGCGACGAGAGGAG
rnacentral:rRNA from 1 species